AAUCCGCCGGCUGGCGCCCCUGGAAUGGGGAGGUCGGCCGCCUGGCGGGGCCAGCGGUCCUUAGCGGUGCCUUCUCUCCCCUCUUCCCUCCGCUCCUGCUGUGCGGGAACUGGAGAAUCGUUAGGACGUGGAGGAAGCAGAGAAGUGGAUCAGAGAACAGGAGGGCUGGGAAGAGUCCUGGUUUCUCAAUCCUGACUGAGCAUCUGAAUCACCUGAGAAGCUACUAAAAUGCAGAUUCCCCGACCCCAUCCCCUUAGAGUCAGAGUCUGUGCAUUUAGGGUGCGGCCUUUCUCAGAGGGAUCGACUGAGACCUACUGAACCCUAGAAGUCUUUACCUGAGGCAGUUCCUGCAAUGUACUGUAUAUUUCAUGACAUUCCAUGUAAAAGAUGACAAGACCGAGACCGUUGAGUGACAGAGAUAAGAACUGACUUAUCUAAGGCUCCACAGGUGGUAGAUGGCAGAGCCGAGACCUGAGCCAAUUAUCUUUUCUCCUGCACUGUGCGGGGUAAUACAGCUCGUUUAAAACAAGCUGGAGUCUCCAUUCCGUUUUCCGCGUUGCUUCUCACAACUCACUGUUAGAAUCCAGAAGUAAGAGAACCCGGGGAAGCGUAAGGAAGAUGAAUAGGACAAAGAUUCUAAGAAGGUGGGAAGGAAGAAGGCUGCAGUCUAUUUCAAGUCUGGUGAAUUUCAAUCACUGUAGCCUUUAUUGUUAUUUUAGAGCCACCUAGACCAAAAGAGAAGGAGCUCAAAUUGCUGGAAAUGCUUAGGAGGUGAGGUACUCUGAAUUUAGAAUAUGAUGGCCUAAGGGAUUCGGAGUCAAGAAGCAGGACAUGGGAUGAAGAUACAUCCACUGUCAAGCUGGUCAUUACGACAGGGAGAAAUAGCCCUCCACAGAGUGAGACUAGUGAGACUUGCAAGAAUUGAAUGAUGGUCCCGUUGGACGAAACUCUUUAGGAUGGAAGAACCAUACAAAGACUUUCUGGCCUUCA
rnacentral:lncRNA from 1 species